AGAGACAGGGUCUUGCUCCAUCACCCAGGCUGGAGUUCAGUGGCAUAUUCACAGCUCGCUGCAGCUUUCACCUUCCAGGUUCAAGUUGUCUUCCCACCUCAGCCUCCCAAGUAGCUGGGACCACAGGAGGAAAUCUCUUCACUGCUGGCACUGACAAUGGAAGACUGAGGGUGCCCGGGAUCCUUCACCCCCACAUCCAGUGAGUCCACGGAACCCAGGGUAACUGGGAUGGUAUCUGAUUGCUGUUGAAUAUCUUUAAUAUACCAAAACCUGCAAGGUGCUAGACAUACAAGAACAUGAAAAUGAAAAGAAACAUAUGAUCUGACAGCUUCUCCAUAAGAGGAAAAUCCUUAAUAGCUAAAUACUUGUUCAAAGUAUUCCUUGAAGCAAUCUCCAUUUUUUUUUCACGGUUAUGGUCAUCAAGAUAAAAAACAAAACAAAACAGAAAACAAGUUAUUUUGCCUUUAAGUCUCCAAAACUGGCUGUAUCCUCAACUUCUGUUUGCAUAUGCAGUUACAGUCUCAGAAUUUCUCCAACUUAAAGCAAAAUGUAGAAGCAAGAUAAGACUAUUGGCUUAAGAGAUUGAAAAGAAAGGAUGGAGUUUCCCAUUUUAUUUAGAAUUCAGAUUCUUUUUGAGCCAUUACUGUCCAUUUCUCUUGGUGUCUACCCAAUGGCCUAAUGUUUAACUAUGCGAGACAUUCCAAGUCUAUUUUAUAUAUAUAUACACACACACACACACACACACACACACACACAAUAGUGCUGUGUUCUGAAUGUGUGUGUCCCUGAAAAAUUCAUAUAUUAAAACUUAAUCCUCAAUGCAAUAAUAUUAAGAGGUAUGGACUUUGGGAGUUGAUUAGAUCAUGAAGACUCUGCAAUCAUGAAUGGCACUUGUGCUCUUGGGAGCUUGGGGGCCCUUUUGCCACGUAAGGAUGCAGCAAAAGGCACCAUCUAUGAAGAAGAGAGCAAGCCUUCACCAAAAAAUCUGCUAGUAUAUUGAUCUUGAACUUCCCAGCCUCCAGAACUGUGAGAAGUAUAUUUCUAUUAUUUACAAAUUACCCAAUAUAGAGUAUAUUGUUAUAGCAGCCCAAAUACAGUGACACAAUAGCAAAAACUUACAUUAAAAUUAUUCUUAGAUUUGAUCUAGAAAAUACUGCUUUGCUACAUAUAAGAAAACAAAUAUACCAGAUUACCAAGAAAGAUACUUCAUUAUGGAUUUUCUGACUUCCAACUUGGGGCUCUUUCAGUGAUACGGAAGUGAAAAUUAAAAAUAAGUGUGAAGUACUAAAAUAAAUUCAACAGAAAAACACCCCCAACUCCAUUGCAAGCUAGCUCACAUAGUCCGAGAAAAACAAUGCUAAACAACAUAUAUGUUAUUUUGUUUUGUUUGCUUAUAUCUUCUGAGAUAGAAAAAAUCCAAAUCUGUUGUUCUCCUUGUCUCGGAGCUGACCCUUUCCAGCAGAUGAUAUCACCUCUAAGGUAACUAAGAACAAUGAUUUCUUAUGGAAGUAAAUCAAGACUGUUCCUAUCAAAAUUAAAAAAUAAAAUGUUGAAUAUUAGAGAGAAAUGCAGCAAUAAUAUAUGGAGUUUAGUAAUAUGAUGGACAGCUCUGUAAUCAUAUUAGUUUCAAAAUAUUUAAUAUAGUCUUUUCCAAAUAUGAUAUAAGCAGAUGGAUAGACUAGCUGUGUACUUUCAUUGCCUCUGCUUUACUGAUGCAGAACUCUUAAAACAAGCUUCCAAAUAUUGUUGGUUCUUUGUUUAUUGAGUGUGAAAUUGAAAGCAAAGCAAACCAAAUGCUGUGACGUAUAUCCAUUUUCCAUCCUCCUUGGUCUUGCAAAUCAAUUAUUAUUCAAAAUUACCCUUUAUAAUCAAAAUUCUUUGUAUAACAACUAAUAUGCCAUUAUCUUAAACUAAUAUGAUCACAUUCUUUUUUUCUUUUGUUUUUGGUAGAGAUGGGAGUCUCACUGUUUUGCCCAAGCUGGUCUUGAACUCCUGGCCUCAAGUGUUCCUCCCGCCUCAGACUCGCAAAGUGCUGGGAUUACAGGCAGAAGUCACUGCUCCAGGCCACAUUAUUUUUAUGAUUAUUAUGAUUAAUACUUUUAAAUAGUUGUACUUUGGGUUCUUGGGAACCCAGAGAAAUAACAUUCUUCACAAAGUUAGUUCAAAGGAUUUUUUUAAGCUUAGUGCUACCGUUCUAAAUGACUUUUUAAAAGAAAAGCAUUGAGUAUUUUAAGAAACAUAUAAAUUGAAUUUUGUGAUUAUCUGAAUUGGUGUUUUAGUUAGCAAUGUAAUGAGAGUAAAAAUAACUAAACAUUAAACUUUCUAAUAGAUUUCAGUUCAAUACUAAUACUACAGGGCUGAUGCUUGCAUUUCUUAGAAAGAGCAGGAAAAUAAAUAUAUAUGUACAUUUAAUUAUAAACAGAAGGCAGAGUUAGUUUACAACAUUUAAAAAAAAAUCUAGAUUGCAUACUUUAAUUUUCACCAUGCAAAAAGUUGGAACUUGUAACUUCCAAUGAGUCAAUCUUUGGCUAUUUUUCACAAUCCACAAGUCCAUGGUUUUUCUAUAAAAUAAGCACUAGUAAUAAAAAUCACAGGACACUAUUUAAUAUGUUUGGUUGUAUUAUAAUAUUGAGAAUAAUUGGAGGAUAAAAUACUUUCUUUUAAAACAUCACCUUUUCAGUGUCUGUUUCAAAAAUAUAGAAUAAAUUUAAUUUUUAAAAUUC